CAGGGCUGCGCCUCUUCCUGAUUGGAAUCUGGUGGGCCGACAACCCGAGUGGUGAGUGUAACCCAGGCCCGCCAAUCAGAGCGUCCCCCAGGAUGGACCAGGGUAGGCCACGUGACUCAGUGGAACCAAUCAGGAGCAAUGAGAGUGGAUUCUGACUCUUUGCUGGAAUUAAAGGGAAGCUGCCUUUUUUACCUCAGUGUCAUGACGCUGGGGAGGAGGAGCUGCUGCCACAGAGAAUCCCGUCAACAUCAUCUAAGCCAGGCCGGGCCUCAAGACUGAUCUCCCCGUAAGCUUCGCAGAAACGCAAGCCAGUCACUUCCUCUCAAAUGGACACGAUGACCAGGCUGAAUCCGUCUGGGAUUUGAGGAGAGAGGAAAAGAACUUGUCCCUAUUAAUUUGGGAUGGUGUCAGCAUUGCUGAGCUGAAGAAGGAGAUGGAGAAGGAGAAGGAGAAAAAGGAGAAGAAGAAGAAGAGGAGGAAGAAGGAGAAAAGGAGGAUAAAGAAGCAGCUAAUAAUCAACCUUUCAGACUCUUGUGUCAGGC
rnacentral:lncRNA from 1 species